rnacentral:misc_RNA from 1 species
CCCCUCUAUGGUCGGUCGGUCCCCGUGGCCUCCGACCCAACACAACAAUCGGCGCGGUUUGCGCCAAGGAACUCACAACGGAAUGGGUGUGGCACCGCCGUGACUUGUGCGUGGCGUGUGCUGUAYCAAAAUCCGAACCUCAUUAACGACUCUCGGCAACGGAUAUCUCGGCUCUCGCAUCGAUGAAGAACGUAGCGAAAUGCGAUACUUGGUGUGAAUUGCAGAAUCCCGUGAACCAUCGAGUCUUUGAACGCAAGUUGCGCCCUAGGCCAUCGGGCCGAGGGCACGUCUGCCUGGGCGUCACGCAUCGCGUCGCCCUCCCUCGACCCUCCUUGUGGCGGCCGAGUGCGGAGCGGAGAUUGGCCCCCCAUUUCCCCUGGGGUGUGGUCGGCCUAAAAGGAAUGGCCCCCGUGUGACGAGCACCACGACGAGAGGUGGUUGUAGCCAAUCAGCUAGACGUCACGUGCUUCGUCUCCGUGGGCCGUCUAUGGAACCCUCUUAUUACGACUGCGACCCCA